rnacentral:rRNA from 1 species
UACGUAGGGUGCGAGCGUUUGUCCGGAAUUAUUGGGCGUAAAGAGCUCGUAGGCGGUUUGUCGCGUCUGCUGUGAAAACCCGAGGCUCAACCUCGGGCCUGCAGUGGGUACGGGCAGACUAGAGUGCGGUAGGGGAGAUUGGAAUUCCUGGUGUAGCGGUGGAAUGCGCAGAUAUCAGGAGGAACACCGAUGGCGAAGGCAGGUCUCUGGGCCGAUACUGACGCUGAGGAGCGAAAGCGUGGGGAGCGAACAGG